CACCGAGCGAUGCGGAGUCAGCGGUUCAUAUUCUGACCAACGUGAAUCGAACGGCGGGCACAAAUGUAAUCGUUAGAAUUAAUAAAGUUAGUCUUAAUUGAGCAGUGAAAUGUGUCAGUAGCUUUUUUAAAAACUCCGAACAACACCCAAGUGUUUAACUGGCGCCCGAAUAGGGACCCAGAAGUCGGGAAAAGUAUAAGUGUUUUAAAGUGUGAAAAUCUUCAUAUUCGGUUAAAGCAGCCGGAUCACAACGGUGGAAAGAGCCACACACCAGAAACCAAGCGAUCUGCAGGACACUGAGGUAAUCACCCGAUCGAUGUGAGAGUCCCGAGUACCGCUAGGAAAAAGGAGCAACUCGUAGCAUCUGCCUGCCGAUCCCCCGACGAUAAAGGGAUUCCCGUCAACCCAGGAAAAGAAAGUCCAGAUAUGCUGGCAUUCAUACUAGGACUUUUAAUCCUACAUUCAGGAUGGUCAUCAGAACAAACUAUAUCACUCCGGAACCUAACUAACCAGCCAAUCCUAGCAUUCGACCAGAGUAAGAAUUGAGUCAUAUUUUUAUAUCCAUCAUUUUAACAUAAGUUCAUAUCAAUACCAUGUACGAAACCUUAGAGACAUGUUUGACGAAAUAGCGACCAAUCAGUUUUCCAUAUUAAUUAUAGAAGAAUUUAAACAAAUCGAUCAAAUACUGAACAACCUUAUUUCAAUUAAAAGAUCAAAACGC